UCUGCUCGCUGUUCCCCUGAGGAGGUCCCAAGUCCAAGAAUAGUCGUGGCAUCUCGGGGCCCUUCCUCUCGGGCUUGGGGGGGUCCGCGUCUCCGCUGGGUGCCAUGUCUCCUCCGGCCUUGCUGUCUGGGACCCCGGGCUCUCCCUCGGGGACCACUUCCUGCCUGGCUCUCUGGAGCAUUGGCUCCGGCCUCCUCGGCUGUGCUUCCGGCGGUGGCAGAGGUGGCUGUGGCCUCAUGCUGUCGACCCAUCCGGCCUUUGCGUCCACGCCGCUUCCGAGGCCGCCGCCGGGGGCCAUCCCCAUGCCCACUGGGGCUCGGGCCCCACUCCCGAGGUCCAGCCUCCCAGCCCCGGGGGCUCUCGGUGCCCCCCCAGUCUCGGGGGCUCUCCUCUCGGUCCCGGGUUCCAGCACCCCGCUCCUGGGGGCUGGGCCAGUGGGGCCAGGGGCUGUCUCCCCGCCGUUCAGGGCCAAGGCCACUGCGCCGGGGGCCGGGGCUCUCUCCAGCGAGGUCUCUGGGACUGGCUCCCCGGUCGUGGGGGCUGGAGCCCCACUCUCGGGGUUCUUCUCCCAGGGCCCUGGGGCUCUCCAAGGCCCAGUCUCUGGCAGCCUCUCUGGGUUCCUGGGGAGUGUCAGGCCCCCAUUCUCUGACACCUCCUCGAUCUUUGGGAGUGUCAGUCCCCCAUUCGCCAGCACUUGCUCUUCUCUCUCCGGGGACCCUGGGUCCCCAUUCUCCAGCACUUUCUCCUCCUUCCUUGGGGGUGGAAGCUCCCCAUUCGCCAGCACUUGCUCUUCUCUCUCUGGGGACCGCGGCCCCCCGUUCUCCGCCACCUUCUCCUCGAUGCCCAGGGCUCUCUGUGGCCCGUUCUCCAGCACUGUCACCCCGUUCACGGGGAGGCUCAGGCCCUCGUUCGGGCUUGGGGCUUGCUUCCCGCUGUCCAGGACUACGGGGUCCCUGCUUGGGCCCGGGGCUUUCUCUCGGUUCCCGGAGCCUCUGGCCGCCUUCCUGGGCCCCGUCUCGUGGGCGGCUGCCCCCUUCUCCCCCAGGAGGUUCCUUGUCACGUCCUCCCGCAGGGACAUCAGCAGCUGCUCGGUGCUCACUUGAACUACGAAGGUUGGCUUCUCCCGGGCCCCCGGGAGCGGGAGGGGACCCGGGUCUGGCGGUGGCCGGGGCGCUCCCGGGUCGGGGGGCUCGGGGGGAGCCCGUGGUCGAGGGACCCCUUCCUCCUCUGCUGCCCCCCCACCGGGGAAGGCUCCCUCGGGGGAAAAAGGGGUCUCGGUCUCGUAGCCGCUGUCCCCCGGCUUGGGGCCCGGAGACGACAGGCCUGAGCCGGGACUGGCCACGGCUGAGGGAGGGUCGGGGGACACGGCUGGGUCUGCGGAGGCCCGGGGAGGUGGCGGCGGGGGGGGGGAGCGGGAGGUGGCCCCCGCCCGGGGUACUGGGGCGCCGCCGCCCCCAUGAGGGGGUCCAGAAACUCGGGGGGGGCCGAGGCGGGGGGGUUCAGGGGCAGGUCGGCCAGGGAGGGGGCCUCUGCUCCCUGCUCCCCGAGGGCCUUCUACCCUCUCCCCUGGGGCCAGGGGAUCCUAGUCAGGGUGUGGGGCAGCACCUGAGUGUGAUGGCUGCGGGGCAGGCAUCGGCAGGGAGACCUCGGCCAGCGGGAGAAUGUAGACAUCAGGCAGCGACUGUGAGGAAGAGGUCUCCUCCGCGGGGGGAGUGUACUCCCCAGAGCAAUCCUCCCCUUCGGGGUUCUCAAACUCCUGGGGCCAGGAGGGGUGGGGGGGGAGAACACAGGGCUGACACAUGCCAUGGUCCUUUUCAUCAAUAUUAUCCCUAUCUUUUUCAUAUCUGUCCCCCCAUUCCAGCCCAAUUUCCAUCCCCAGGCUCGAGAUCGUGCCAUAACUUCAGGCCUGAAGGCCUCUCAGCCUCACUGCCCCGCUCUCCUCCUGCCACCCAGGUUGGGGAAACCCAGCCCUGCCUGAGUCUUCCCCUCCACCCUGAAUCCCCUCGUGCACCUCACCUUGAAGCCAACAUCGCCCCGUUUGCAGCACAGACAGGUGAGGAGGAGGAAGAUGAAGGCCAGCAGGCCAGAGCAGGAAAUGAGAACCACGGCAUAGGGAGGAGCCAGAGGGGCCCGGCCCAGGGCGAAUCCAUCUGUGGGCACAGGGCUGGGCUGGGGUCCCGGCUUUCAGCCAGGGGCUCCCAGACUCCAUGCCCCUCCCCGCCCAGCCGGUCUUAACUACAGCUCCCAUGAUGCUCUGUAACCAGGGGCCCCCUUGGCAAAGGAGCCGGAUGGCCCCGGGCAUUGUGGGAGUUGUAGUUCGGGGCCUUCUCAAGUGGUUGGGGGUGGGGUCCCUCCUCUCUCCUUAAGCUGGGACCCCCCCCAUCACCUCACCCCCAGGUUUGGAUGAAUUUCAGUGAGGAUUGCGGGAAGGAGGAGUAGUAGUGGAGCCUGGAGCUCUCAGAAUUUAAAAUACGCUCCCACGACAGCCUUCAGACCCGGUAUUUGGGGAAGAGGAUGAGUCCCCAACUGCAGGCUGGGAGAAGAUUCUUGCCCCAUGCUGGAACCUCCUAGUUAGGGGGGUUGAGGCCUGUCUCUUUUAGGGAGGCUUGGAGCACACACGAGUCCUCUGUCCCCAGCCCAAGCCCCUGAGAAGGAAACUCCGCAAGCCUCGGGUCUCCCGCAAAGCUAGAGCCAGCCUCCUAUGCCGUGUCCCCCUUAGAAACAGUAUACGUCCCCUCUGCCCCCGAUUCUGCCAGAGGCCCUGUCCUUCCCCGGCUCCCUGCACACACCUGCACACACACAUGCGUGUGCACACACACAUGGUGCCAGAACGGACCCCCUCCCCAUCCAGCCCCCAGCCUUCCUCCCACAGGCCCUGCUGACAGAGGCACGGUCCCCGCGGCUCCCCAGGCCCCGGCUCUGCGGGAAGACGCCACACAGGUGAUGGAGCCGGAGCCCUGCAGACAGACCCCUGGGCAGGCCAGGGUGGGGUUGGGGACCACUGGACAGCCGGAUGGCCGGACAGACUUACCGGGGUGGGCCGGGGACGCCAGGCAGCCGGAGGCGGAGACGGCCGCGAGGAGGAUGAGGGCGCCGGGGGCAGGCAUCUUGUCGAGGAUGGAAGGGAGAUGGAGGUGGUGGCGGCUGGGGAGGAGGGGGGGGCGGGCCCUCAGCCCCCAGCCAUGGGGACCCGCGCGACCCUGGCCUCCCCCCCGGCCCAGGAGAGGGGCAGGAG
ensembl:lncRNA